rnacentral:tRNA from 1 species
UAUGUUGUGGCUCAGUGGUUGAGUGCUUGCUUGGUAUGUGUGAGGCACUGGGUUCAAUCCUCAGCACCACAU